GGCGGUGUGCUUAAUACAUGCAAGUCGAACGAGACUUUCGGGUCUAGUGGCGGACGGCUGAGUAACGCGUAGGUAACGUACCUCUUACUGGGGGAUAACAUCGGGAAACCGGUGCUAAUACCGCAUAAGUCGUGUCUUGAAAUAGAUACGAUUAAAGAUUUAUCGGUAAGAGAUUGGCCUGCGUCUGAUUAGCUAGUUGGUAGGGUAAUGGCCUACCAAGGCGAUGAUCAGUAGUUGGUCUGAGAGGAUGACCAGCCAGAGUGGGACUGAGAACGGCCCACACUUCUACGGAAGGCAGCAGUAGGGAAUUUUGCGCAAUGGGCGAAAGCCUGACGCAGCAACACCGCGUGCGGGAUGAAGGCCUUUGGGUUGUAAACCGCUGUCAGCAGGGAAUAAAUUGACUGUACCUGCAAAGGAAGCACCGGCUAACUACGUGCCAGCAGCCGCGGUAAGAC
rnacentral:rRNA from 1 species